GGAAGCGUGGCCGAGUGGUUGAAGGCGCACGACUCGAAAUCGUGUGGGCGGGUGACCGUCUCGAAGGUUCGAAUCCUUUCGCUUCCGCCA
rnacentral:tRNA from 1 species